rnacentral:piRNA from 1 species
UUGGAAUCAGUGUCCUUGGCAUUGACUUA